GAUGAACGCUGGCGGCGUGCCUAAUACAUGCAAGUAGAACGCUGAAGGAGGAGCUUGCUCUUCUGGAUGAGUUGCGAACGGGUGAGUAACGCGUAGGUAACCUGCCUGGUAGCGGGGGAUAACUAUUGGAAACGAUAGCUAAUACCGCAUGACAACAGUUAUUGCAUGAUAACUGUUUAAAAGGGGCACUGCUCCACUACCAGAUGGACCUGCGUUGUAUUAGCUAGGUGGUGAGGUAACGGCUCACCAAGGCGACGAUACAUAGCCGACCUGAGAGGGUGAUCGGCCACACUGGGACUGAGACACGGCCCAGACUCCUACGGGAGGCAGCAGUAGGGAAUCUUCGGCAAUGGACGGAAGUCUGACCGAGCAACGCCGCGUGAGUGAAGAAGGUUUUCGGAUCGUAAAGCUCUGUUGUAAGAGAAGAACGAGUGUGAGAGUGGAAAGUUCACACUGUGACGGUAUCUUACCAGAAAGGGACGGCUAACUACGUG
rnacentral:rRNA from 1 species